rnacentral:snoRNA from 1 species
UCCAACAGUUGUCAGCUAUCCGGGCUAUGUGGUGCCUGUGAUUGUGUUACACUGUUGGAAGAGCAAACGCUGUUGAACUAAGGGUUAGCUCCGAGCACUGUUUUGGUGUCAGGUGCUAAGUACCUUCAGGCAGUGAUUUGCAUCCCUGAGAGUGGAAUGACUCCUUGUGGAGUUGGUCCUGGUCUAGGUGCAAACAGA